GAGUGGUGACGCACCAGCAGUUCCGUAUCCACGUUGCUCAUCAGGAAGUCUCGUGUCAGCAGUGGCAAGCGCACACACUUCAUGAGCUGAAGACAUGGAUGGAAAGAGUGACAAACUAAGUCAAAAGAAUCAAGACUUCCCAGACUACAGGGAGGAGGAGAGAAGAUCAAGAGAUUCUGUUUUUAAAAAGCUCAAGGCCAAUGUGACAGGAAGUGGUGUCAGUGACAUAUAUAUAAUUAGACAUCCGUAGCUAAAACCAUUUUUCCUCCGAGGAUUGUUAUGGCUCAGCUCCCCAGCACUCUCUAUGUAUCAUUUAACGGGUACACUUUACACCCCUCUUUUUACACCCUGAAUAAAUCUAUUCUUGAUUCCUUCUUCGUUAAUAAUUAGUUUGAAUAUUUUAUGACCCUGGGCGUUUCAGUCUGUUCUUCACACAAAGCUAUUAUAUAGGGGUGGGCGAUAUGACCAAAAUCUUACAGCACAGUGAGUCAUUUUAUUUCAUGGUAAAGAUAUAUAAUAUAUAGUUAUUUUCGCUUUAAGUAAGGUCUUUUUAAUAUCAACAUCUUUGAUACCAUAGAAAUUUCACAAUUCUUCACAAAAAAUUAAUACUAGCCUAAAUU